AACGCACGAGACCUGCGGACCUGCGGAAGGAUCAUUACAGAGUUCAUGCCCUCACGGGUAGAUCUCCCACCCUUGCGUACCCCUAUCGUUCGUUGCUUUGGCGGGCCGCUUCGGCUACCGGCUCUCGCUGGUAAGUGCCCGCCAAAGGCCUAAACCCUGAACAUUAGUGUCGUCCGAGUACUAUAUAAUCGCUAAAACUUUCAACAAUGGAUCUCUAGAUCGGAAGAGCAAACGUCUGAA
rnacentral:misc_RNA from 1 species